rnacentral:rRNA from 1 species
CCCCUAGUAACGGCGAGUGAAGCGGGAAAAGCUCAAAUUUAAAAUCUGGCGGUUAUGCCGUCCGAGUUGUAUUCUAGAGAGGUGUUUUCUGUGCUGGACCGUGUAUAAGUUUCUUGGAACAGAACGUCAUAGAGGGUUAGAAUCCCGUCUUUAACACGGACUACCAGUGCUCUACGAUUCACUUUCAAAGAGUCGAGUUGUUUGGGAAUGCAGCUCAAAAUGGGUGGUAAAUUCCAUCUAAAGCUAAAUACAGGCGAGAGACCGAUAGCGAACAAGUACCGUGAGGGAAAGAUGAAAAGCACUUUGGAAAGAGAGUAAAACAGUACGUGAAAUUGUUGAAAGGGAAACGCUUGAAGUCAGUCGUGUUUUCUGGGACUCAGCCUGGCUUUUGCCUGGUGCAUUUCCUAGUUAACAGGCCAACAUCAAUUUUGGUCAAUAGACAAAGGCUAGAGAAAUGUGGCAACUCCGGUUGUGUUAUAGUCUCUAGUUGUAUGUAUUGACUGGGAUUGAGGAAUCCGGGUACUUGUACUGUGGGAUGUUGGCAUAAUGGCUUUAAACGACCCGUCUUGAAACACGGACCAAGGAGUGUAACAUGCUCGCGAGUGUUUGGGUGGAAAACCCGAGCGCGUAAUGAAAGUGAAAAGUUGAGAUCCUUUUGGAGCAUCGACGCCCGAGCCUGAUGUUUUCGGACGGCUUUGCGGUAGAGCGAGUAUGUUGCGACCCGAAAGAUGGUGAACUAUUCCUGAGGAGGGCGAAGCCAGAGGAAACUCUGGUGGAGGCUCGUAGCGUUUCUGACGUGCAAAUCGAUCGCAGGACUUGGG